GACGGAGGAUGCAAGUGUUAUCCGGAAUCACUGGGCGUAAAGCGUCUGUAGGUGGUUUAAAAAGUCUACUGUUAAAGCUUGAAGCUUAACUUCAAAAAUGCCGUAGAAACUUUUAAACUUGAGUAUGGUAGGGGUAGAGGGAAUUUCCAGUGGAGCGGUGAAAUGCGUAGAUCUUGGAAAGACCACCAAUGGCGAAGGCACUCUACUGGGCCAUAACUGACACUAAGAGACGAAAGCUAGGGGAGCGAACAGG
rnacentral:rRNA from 1 species